rnacentral:lncRNA from 1 species
UACCAGUUUUGGCAUCCAGUGAUUUUCUAACGCCAUCAUACCUUCUAUAUUUAUUAGUUGGCAUUCUAAUGUGAGGAAGAGUUUUGUCUUUUUUAUUCAUUCAUUCAUUCAUGUAUAUCACUGAGGACUCAUGGAUUUUCAUUUUGUUUAUGAGUUAUGAUCUGUUAUUAUCUUUAUUUAUUUGGCUUCUGAAAUUAUAUCAGAUUUGCAGACUCCCAUGUAUUUUUGAUAUGCCCCCAUCACUACAAUUUUCUUGCUUUCGGUGGGCUGAAAGUUCUUACUGCUUAACAAGAUGUUCCAGGCUAUCUUAGACUUUCCCUGCCCUAGCCCUAGAAUGUUUCCUUUUUCCAAGGAGCCUUGCUUCCAAGGAAAGGAUGGUAUUUAGAAACCAAGGUCUGGCCACUAGGUGAGCUCAUUGCUUCUGAUAUGUGCUCAUUGCUAAUAUGUUGCAGACAGAGCUAGGAAAAAAAUAAACAAAUAUACACACAUACUAUAUUUUAUUUAUUUCUUACCUAUCUACUUAUUAUAUUAAAAACAAUGAAUUCUUACUGAUACCUCCAAUUUCAAUCCACAUCUCAAGGUACAUUUUUUUUUUCUGCUUCUUUUCUCUGUUAGGUGUUUCCUUCUCCAAAAGUGAAGAACCAGGCUUCCUUACUCUUUAAGCAUAUGCUCAAGCCAAGUUCUAACCUCUUCACUCCUUUCUGCAGGUUCCAGUAUCUUUCCCUUUAGGCUGAAGAACUUCCAUUAGCACUUUGUGUAGUGUGGGUCUGAUGCUGACAAAUUCUCUCAUUUUUAGUUUAUCUGAAAAUGCCUUUAUUUUGCUGUAUUCUUAAAAGAUAUUAGUUAAUAGUAGUUUCUUUCAACACUUUAAAAGAGUUUUCCCACAUUUUUCCUGUCUUCAUUUUUCUCAUGAGAAGUCAGCUAUACUUUGUGUUUGCACCUCCUGUGGUGCUGUAUUUCAUUUUCACACCAUGUGUAUAAGUUUAAGGUUUUCAACAACUUUGAGAAAUUUUUGGUUUAAUUUUAAAUAUUUUAUUUUUAAUUGUAUUUAUUUAAAUAAAAUAUUUAAUUUUAAAUAUUUUCUGCUCCAUUCUCUUUCUUCUUUUCGGGACUUCAAUUACGUAUAUGUUAGAUCACUUGAUAUUGUCCCAGAAAACACUGAGGCUCUGUUAACUUUUUAUAGGU